CCUACGGGAGGCAGCAGUGAGGAAUAUUGGUCAAUGGGCGGGAGCCUGAACCAGCCAUGCCGCGUGAAGGCGAGUGCCCUACGGGCGUUAAACUUCUUUUGUGCGGGAGCAAGAAGGGCCACGCGUGGCCCGAUGAGAGUACCGCACGAAUAAGCAGCGGCUAACUCCGUGCCAGCAGCCGCGGGAAUACGGGGGAUGCGAGCGUUAGCCGGAUUUAUUGGGUGUAAAGGGGGCGGAGGCGGCGCUUCAGGUCAGCGGGGAAAUACCGGGGCUCACCCCCGGGGCUGCCGUUGAAACCGGGGCGCUAGACUUCCGCUGCCGUCGGAGGAAUGUGUGGUGUCGCGGU
rnacentral:rRNA from 1 species